rnacentral:rRNA from 1 species
GUGGGGAAUCUUGCGCAAUGGGCGAAAGCCUGACGCAGCCAUGCCGCGUGGAUGAUGAAGGUCUUAGGAUUGUAAAAUCCUUUCACCGGUGAAGAUAAUGACUGUAGCCGGAGAAGAAGCCCCGGCUAACUUCGUGCCAGCAGCCGCGGUAAUACGAAGGGGGCUAGCGUUGCUCGGAAUUACUGGGCGUAAAGGGAGCGUAGGCGGACAUUUAAGUCAGGGGUGAAAUCCCGAGGCUCAACCUCGGAACUGCCUUUGAUACUGGGUGUCUUGAGUGUGAGAGAGGUGAGUGGAACUCCGAGUGUAGAGGUGAAAUUCGUAGAUAUUCGGAAGAACACCAGUGGCGAAGGCGACUCACUGGCUCAUUACUGACGCUGAGGCUCGAAAGCGUGGGGAGUAAACAGGAUUAGAUACCCCAGUAGUCC